CCGUCCGUCCGUCUGUCCGUCUGUAUGUCUGUCUGUCCGUCCUUCGGUUGGUUCGAUAACUCUCUAAUGGAGUGAUACAGAGACUUGAAAUUUUGGACACUAACUCAUUAUGUUAAGGGGAGGAACUGAUUAGAAUUUGGGCGCCGUAGGUCAAUAGGUCACAUUAAUAAGGUCAAUGGUAAAACAUGUCGAAAUUUUUGUUUCCACGGAGACAUAUUUUGAGGCGGGGAUUUCAAAAAUCGACAAGAUUUUGACGUGCGUCGACAUGGUGACCGUGUAGACGACGCCAAAGGUCGAAAAUGUCGAACUUUUUGUAUAAUCAAGAUUGAUGACAAAUUCAUAAUUGAAUAGUCGAGACUCGACAACAAUUCAAAUUUAAUUCAAUUCGCAUGCAAACAAAUACAUAACUUUGUUUCACCCCUUGAUUACAGUCGUUUGUAACGGUUUAUUUCCACUACAGUCCCAACUACUCGAGAAACUCAUGCCAUUUGUUUCCCAGGUCCCAUAGCACAUUUUCAUUUUCAAAGUUGCUUAAAUUAUUCAUCACCAUGGUUGUGGACGGGUAUCCUGAGAAAAUGGGGGGCGAUGGGUUUACCCCAGGAACACAAAGGUUCGCGUGGGGACUGUUUAUUAUUUCUUUGUUACUUCUCGGCCCCCACAUCUUGAAGGCGUUCCAGGACCCGGAGCCGGAACCCCCUCGCGUUCCAUAUAUGACCUUCAGCCAAAGCGGUUGUGUGCCAGCUAAAAAUACGAGACCUUGAUUGGCACGUCUCCAGAUUGCAAAAAGUUACCGCAGAUUUAUAAGUGUAGAAUCAAAUUCAAUAUCAAAAAUCUUGAAAAUUCCAACUUGUUAAAAAUGCAUACAUACCUGGUCAGGAUAUUUUCUGAAAUACCUAAAAAAUAUUAAAUUUGAGCUUUUGUUUGCUGUCAUGUGUUUUCACAUUCUGAUAUUUUUUCUGUCCAUUGCCACAAAUUAUUAGCCUCUUUCAACUUUAUUUAUCUAGAUUAAAAUUUCCGUUAUUAAAUUCAUAACUACAUCUGCUAGCAACCAAUUGAAUUUCCAUGAUUUUCUGUAAAAACCCAAUAUUUAUUUCAACCAGUUUCCAAGUUUUGAGUUUUUGACGAAAAUCACGAAAACUUCACUUUUUAACAUUGGUCGGUAUAGCGAAAAAUCCAAAAUUUGUGUAGAAAAAUAUCCAGAAAAGUCAACUUUUUACCUUCGAGUUUUCCACAAAUUACCAAAGAAACACUCGUAUUUCAGAAAUCUUGUGAGAUAUGCAUUUUUGAAAAAAUACAUGAUAUGACGUAUUUGGUCUCUUAGGGACAUUUUUUUAAAUACGUCAUAUGACGAAUUUAAGUGAAAAGAGGUUAAAUUGUGUUAUCAGACAUUCUUGCAAGAAACCAACGCACGGAUUGUUUCGUGGGCAAAGCAAUGCAAUCAAAAAGUUAGACACACGUCUCCCAGAUAUUUGGCAUUGGAACACACGGGUCAUAAAGAUUAUAUAAUUUAACACGAUUAUAAUUACGAUUACGCUGCUUACUAAUUAUUAUAUAAUAUACUUUUUCUAAAUUGACUAUUUAGUCUUAUAAUUAUCAUACAUACUUACAUGGAUGAAAGUGUAUGCAUACAUAAAAUAAAAUAUAUGUAAAAUUUUUCAAAAAUUAGUGACCGGACAAGCAAUAACUUUUGACGUGGGGAAAUCCGUUUGUGGACCUGAAUUCGAGGCAAAGGAUUCCGAUCUCGUUGCAGCGCUUCACCAAAAACAUUGGAAACAUCCAAAUCCCACGAAAGAUCUAAAUUGUGCGAGAUCCGUUAAAAUUACAGAAUUGGAAAGUUCCAAGGAGAAAAGCGUCAUUGCCAAGGUGUACACGAAAUGUAUACAUGGCUGCAAAAUUCCGGAUAUUGCAUUGUCCGACGCUGCAUUCAAGAAACUCUCCAAAGACGGCGGAACUUCGCUAAAAGUCACGUGGGAUUUUAAGGACUAAUUAACAAUCAACAUCGUCAUGGACGAGACGUUAUUGUAAUUUGUGUCAUUAUUAAAAUUUGGAGCUAUAUGUAGUUAGUGUUCUUUUCAAUAAAUUAUCCUACCUAAAUUUUCAUGAA